rnacentral:rRNA from 1 species
GGGAAUAUUGGACAAUGGGCGAAAGCCUGAUCCAGCCAUGCCGCGUGAGUGAUGAAGGCCUUAGGGUUGUAAAGCUCUUUCAGUAGGGAAGAUAAUGACGGUACCUACAGAAGAAGCCCCGGCUAACUUCGUGCCAGCAGCCGCGGUAAUACGAAGGGGGCUAGCGUUGUUCGGAUUUACUGGGCGUAAAGCGCACGUAGGCGGUUUGUUAAGUCAGAGGUGAAAUCCCGGAGCUCAACUCCGGAACUGCCUUUGAUACUGGCAAGCUAGAGUCCGGAAGAGGUAAGUGGAACUCCUAGUGUAGAGGUGGAAUUCGUAGAUAUUAGGAAGAACACCAGUGGCGAAGGCGGCUUACUGGUCCGGAACUGACGCUGAGGUGCGAAAGCGUGGGGAGCAAA